CCGCGCCGGCCCCCGCCCCGUGCCGCUGCCCCCGCCGUGCCCGGCGCCGCGCGACACGGCGCCGAGGGCCGCGGCUGGAGAACGGCGGGGCGGCCGCCCGCGGGUGCGUCCCGGUAACGGCCGCCGCCCCCCGCCCGCGGCACUCACCGGAGAGCUCGUCCGGCUCCAGCCCGGUCUCGGUGUCCAGCCCGCAGAUCACGAAGUAGUCGGCGAAGCGGCCGGGUGCCGAGGAGCCGCCCCCGCUGCCGCCGCUCAUGCUGGAGCCCGAGGGACAUUUCCUGAGGAACAGGGGACAAAGAACGAGGAUGACUCAGGCCGGGCGCUGAGGGACGCGCGGCGCGUACCGUGCUGUGCGAUGAGAGCAUGUCUUCACGCUGAGGGACCUGGGAUAGCCUCACCGCGCUAAAAUUAGCGGCGAGCGGUUCCCCUUCCUCUCCUCGCCUCACCCAGCUCAAUAACGGUGCCUUUCACACCACAGUUAUUCCCUGUAUUCUCUUCACUUUCCCCUCAGCUCAGCACGGCUUAUAAGAGAAGUCCACGCUGCGAAGACGAGGCGAGUUCCUAAUGCUGUGUGGGCAGCAGAGACAGCAGCCCGUGUCAGACGGCUCUGUCAGCGGUCCGCAGCGAUUUGCAGCGCAAUUAACUGGGCUCUUAAGCCAUCUUUCCCAGAGAACUGCAGAGGGCUUUUCCGUCCUUCUGGGAGAUUGGGAAAGCCGUGAGAAGAGCCGGUAUUAUUAGGAUUCGCUUGAUUAAGACUGUAUAGGCCACAGAAUGGGUUAUCAAUGAAUGACAGUAUUGCUUAGGUUUGACUGGCAGCUCUGACAGCCCGAUUUUAAGCUGCUGGUGAGCCUAGGAGUGAGAUUUCAAUAAAGAUGGAAAGAUAAUUAAAUGCAGUAAUACUAGACUGGAAGUCGCAACUCCACAGCAAGCACAUACAUUUAGACUCCACUGAGCCUUCCUUGUGGUUUGAGGAAGACAGCAGUGAGAAGAGAACUAGCUAAAUCUGGUUGCUCCUAUUCUGCUUCAUUUGGUAGGCAUUUUAUGCACGUUUUGCUCCUCGGUCUGCUUUUGAUCUGACAAAGGGCUCAGAAUGCGAUAAGCUUCAUUUCUGUAAGCCUGCAGUUUAACUCUUAGAAAUAUAACACUGAGGUGCUGGAACAUGGCCAAAGAAGGGCAAGGAAGCUGUUGAAGUCUAGAGAAGAUGGCUUAUGAGGAGCAGCUGAAGGAACUGAUUAUUUAACCUAGAGAAAAGGAGGCUCAGGGGAGUCCUUAACACUCUCUCCAACUACAUCAAAGGAGGCUGUAAGUAAGGUGGGGGGGGGUCAGUCUCUUCUCCCAAUCUAUGGGACGAGAAGAAAUGACCUUGAGUUCAUGCCAGGAGAGGUUUGGAUUGAACAUCACGAAAAAUUUCUUCACUGAAAGGAAGUGAAGGUUGUGAAGCAUUGGAACAGACUGCCCAGGGAAGUAAUUGAGACAAUGACCCUGGAGGUAUUUAGAAUGUGUGUAGAUGUAGUCCUUAGAACCAUGGUUUAGUGGUAGCCUUGGCAGUGCUAGAAAACUGAGGAAGUACCACAGAUAUUGUAAGGGCUUUUUGUGUUCGUUUUGUCAAAUAGAGUGAAAUGGGGAAAUGAAUUAUGUUCUUGCCCACAGCACAUGCUCCAACCACAUAUUUAGGAGACUUAGCAAGUAAAGGUAAAUGGGCCAGAAAGUAGGCAAAUUUCUGGAAAUACAGUUGAAUAGCAGUAUUUAACAGAACCCACGCCUUGCUAUACAGCAUGGUAAAGGACAGAAAUUGAUUUUUAAAAAGGAGAGUCUCAAACUAAGGAAUUCAGAUUCGCUUUGAAUUGAUAUAAGAAAGGAACAGGGAAGCAGCUGCAUGAAUUUGAAUCAAUAAAAGGUGAAUUAAUCAAAAGUCACUGUAAUUUUUGCUGUGAAAGGCUCGAUUAUAAUUUGUCAGAUAAGCUCUCUGCUUUCUUAAUCUUUCUUAAUUCUGGGCAUUUCCUGGAUGUGUUCAAACAGCUAGAGCUCUGUCUUCUCAUUUUGUCAGUGACAACCUCUUUCCUACUGUAUCUUUUCUUCCUGAUUAUUUCAUUUCUGAAAUUUCGUGUGUGUAGUGAACACAAUGUCUGUAACAUUGAAUUCAAAGGCUAGCAGCUUUCAUUCCUCAGUCUUCUUGACCCACGUUCCCAACACAGGGAACACCUAAAACAACCAUUUUGUCAGUGAACUUUGCAAACUGACUGACGUCCUCAAGUGAAGCAACAUUCUCAACGACACUGAGAAUUUUUGAAAGUAUUCUGUAUGAAGUUUACAAAAUUAAGUGUCUUAAAUCUGUGGAAACUAUGUUUACCAGAGAAUCACAAUGACAUAUUAGCAAGUAGGAAGUGAUUUAAAAGAUUUACUUUAAAGAGACAGAAUGUGAACAUAACUUGGUUACUCCUCAUAUGAGUUAAUUUGGACUUACUUUGCCAACAGUCAGGAUUAUUGGAGGAGUUUGUUUAAUAAGCAGUUAAAAAAAAUGAG